UUGAGGUCGCCCUAGGUUAAAGUCUUGCCUUUCGAUUGCAGCUGUCGCACUCGCGAGACAUACUUUCCAGCAUAGUCAAGACAUCAUGCUAGAUACCGUUAUACAGGAUUUUGCAAAUUCUAUUAUUACAAGCCGGGAAGACAGUUGUCACGGCAGCUCAGAAGAUGUGGCCGUUGACCCAUUUUUACAGGCGUUCAGCUCCCUCACAGCGUUUCUUAGAAUAUUCGGAACGGUCUUCUAUUUCGUCGAGUUAGACGUUAACAAAAAGAUUCAAACCAUAAAAAAGAAUCAAGUAGAAUUGAAGGACAAUCCGAAGUCCGAACACGUUCUGGACCUUGUGCAGUUGGAAGUAGAUACCGGUAAAGUUCGGACCAAGGAUAGCAGUGGACGGCACUUCCUUAGAUUGCUGCGUGCAUUGAAGUUUGUUUAUCUUUUUUUUGAAGAGCUAGGCAAAGAUCAAGAUUUGAGGACCUCUGCCGAGGUGGCCUACAAGGCCUCGUUGCACGAUCAUCAGGGAUGGGCCAUUCGCAAGACAGUGGGAUUGGCGUUUUAUACGCUGCCGACUAGGGAAAAGUUCGUUGAGACCCUCGCUGCAGACCAAGAAUCUAUAGACGAGUUGACUGGACCCUUUGUUGGAACCGUGAAAAGAGUGUACACAAUUCUCAACGACUACUACGAAACGAAUAAUCUUCAGGACUUGGACUGAUAUGUACAUACACAUUUAAAUGUAAAAGUUGC